AAAUCACAAUGCGGGACUUGUAGUCUUGCAAUUGGAUUGAGAACAACGUAAAACUCUUAUCGAUAAGCCAUUGGAGGGCAAGUCUGGUGCCAGCAGCCGCGGUAAUUCCAGCUCCAAUAGCGUAUAUUAACGUUGUUGCAGUUAAAAAGCUCGUAGUUGAAGUGAGGGAGUGUGUGUUGUGAUCGAAUCGAUCGAGAGCAGUACAACCUCCCCCUUCCAAUGGGUGUAUUGGGGUAUUCAUUUACUUCAUUACUCCUUUGGUCGUUUACUGUGAGAAAAUUAGAGUGUUCAAAGCGGGCGUUUGUUUGAAUAGAUUAGCAUGGAAUAAUGAUUGAAGGCUUUCGUGUUCGAUUUGAUUGGUUUGUUCAUGGAAGCAAGGUUAAAAGGAACAGUUGGGGGUAUUCAUAUUCACUAGUUAGAGGUGAAAUUCUCGGAUUUAUGGAAGAUGA
rnacentral:rRNA from 1 species